UACGUAGGGGGCAAGCGUUGUCCGGAAUCAUUGGGCGUAAAGAGCGUGUAGGCGGCCAGAAAAGUCCGCUGUGAAAACUCGAGGCUCAACUUCGAGCUGUCGGUGGAAACUUUCUGGCUAGAGUCCGGAAGAGGAGAAUGGAAUUCCUGGUGUAGCGGUGAAAUGCGCAGAUAUCAGGAAGAACACCCGUGGCGAAGGCGGUUCUCUGGGACGGUACUGACGCUGAGACGCGAAAGCGUGGGGGCGAACAGG
rnacentral:rRNA from 1 species